GGGGAGCAGAUUUGCCCAAGUCCCUCUGCCUUUCUAGUAACAAACACUGGAGGUUGUGGGGAGGGUGGCUGAGUGCCCAUAGAAAGCUUUCAUUGUGACAUCUUUGGCACCUGUGCCACAGGUUCACCAUCACUGGUCCAUCAUGUUGGAAGAAAAAAUUUAGGCCAUUGAAGUAGGAUUGUAGACUAUAUGGAAAGGAGUAAUGUUUUUUAAAAGAUUACAAAUGUCAUCCUGUUCCACCCAUCUCCACAAGUGGAAUAUGAACACUACACAUCUCUUCUCUUUCAUCGUUGCGAGCUCAUAAAGCAGGGCCUUGAGACAAAGGGCCUGAUGUGCCGGCACACUUCGUCACCUGGGCUGAUGUUUACAGAGCUGGUCUCUCGGAGAAACUACUCAGAAAUCUGUCCAUGUGCAUGAAGCACAGUUUUGACCACCUUUUAGAUGCCUUCCUUCCUCUACAUUUCCACAAUCAACUUCUCCAAACCAGAUCUGCAUCGGCCAAUACUAAAAGACUGCAUGUCUAUAUACACAGAUAUCUUCCCAGUGUCUCUACUUCUGACUGUUGAAUGCAUGUAUUACAACUAUUUUCAAACCAUUCUUUCCUUCAUUGCAUUUUUCCAUUAAAGGAUCUGUAACCAUUAACUCUGCCUACUAGUUCCAGUGUAAGUAAACCUCUCACAUUUUUGUGAUCUUCUAAUGAUUUUUCCAACUUUCCCACUUAUCGAUGCAUCUGAUCUCAUUCCUCCUUAUUCCUCAACACCUAUUUUUCAGGCUGCUCUCCACAGGAUUAGACUUCUAAGUCUAUAUUGUUUUGGGGAGUCCAUGAGGGAGUCUAAUAUUCCCAAAUUAUUGUUGAUUCUGCUAUAAAUAAUUUAAGAAGUUUAGUUUCUUAUUUAUAAAAGUCAUAACAGUAUCACUGAGAAGUAAGCUGUAUGGAAAUCGCGCUUAGCUACAAUAAAUCGUUCGUAUAGUUAAAAGUGAACAUUAUUAUCAAUCAUAGUAUGAAUAUUAACAAUGAAUACACAACAUCCCAUUCAAAUACAAAUGCAAUAUUCCUGGGCCAGGAAGAGGACUUACACGUAAA